CUACCCAUCUCUAGGAGAUACCAUGAUUAAGAAGGUGGUUCACCCAGUGUGAGGCUCGGUCAAUGCACUCUGGCUGUCUGACCCCUGCGAAUUCCCCAAAUGCGAGAAUCUCGACUGCAUAAUUUGUGCUAGUGCGGGACUGCGUUCGCGCUCUCCCCUA
rnacentral:snRNA from 1 species